UCUUUUUUUGGCUUAGUUGUGUUCAUAGUUUAAUAAGGUUAUUGAAAGAAACAGUAGGAAAAAGCUCUUUGUGGAAGUAUGAUAUUUUAAGUGCUGGAGCACUUAAACUUUCAUGUAAAUAGAAAUUAAUAUAAUACUGAAUAAAGCAUAAUGCUUUAUACAAAUGUAAUUCCGGUUUGUUUUCCAGAGUUUCUCAGGCUCUUGUGGAACUAAGGCUGAGGCAAACUGAGGUGCAUCACUCCACAAAGUACAGCAUGGAAUGUGUGUGCCAGCAUCACCUUAAUUGCCACGAUGUGCCACAAAGCCCAGGAAAAUGUAGUCACAUUGGCUUGCCCAUGAAUCCCAUGAUUGUGUGUGAAUGGAAUUUCCCUACUCCAAGGUGCAAGAGCUGAGCAGAAGAGAACAGAAUGAUAUUGGGUUGAAUGUCUACAUUCUCCUCUCAGACCUGCAUGAAAAAGGGACAAAACCUUUUACAGAGUUCUCAGCUCUGUAUUGAUCUGGAUUCUGAAGACUCCACUGAAGUAACUUCUAAGCUGGAACUUGUACCCAAACCUGAAGCAACCUUUCCCUCUAAAUAACUGGCACAAAGAUUUGGCUGCAGCCUCCACCUGGAGAACCAAAGGGGUUAUCAGCACUCCCCAGAGCUACAGACUCUAUCAAGAUAUGACCAAGGCUACCAUGUGAACUGGGGAUUUUGGGGCCAGCUUGUUCCACUCCUUUUAUGACUCUGAAAGAGUAACUUGGAUCCUGGGUGAGAAAACUUUAUAAGCACAUGCUCAGCUUCACUGGGACAGAAGCCUGUGCUGGCAGAAGCAUGUGUUCAAGCACCAUCUUGAAAAAAUAUGGUUUCCUUUACC
rnacentral:lncRNA from 1 species